GCAUUGUAAAAUGUGUUUCUUUUUCAUUUCAGUUGCCUGUUGGUAAGUACAAUUGCCUUCUUUAAUUGCAUAUUGAAAUAUGUUUUAUGACUUUUAUUCUGCUAUGCUUUUUUCAUUUCAGUUUGGCAGAUGUAAGUACACUUCAUUUAUGUAAAAACUGAAUAUGAUUGUUGUGCUAUACAAAAUGUGCUUUUUUCAAUUUCAGGUCAGCAAUGGUAAGUAUAGUGUGUUUUUUUAUGUAUAAUUUUGUAUACAUAUUGUUUUUUUCAUCAUAGCAUGUCUUUUAUAUUUAUGCUUUGUGUAAGUAAAAUGUUCAUAAAUCAUUCUUAUCUUUAAACUAAAAAUGUAUUUUGAUAUGCAAAAUGUCUGUAUGAUUUCAGUUGCCAGAGGUGAGUACCAUAACAGUUGAAAAGUUAGUUUUGUUUAGUUAAAGUUUUGGUUCACAGUUUUGUUUGUUAUUUGGCAAAAUUUACAUGUAUGCAUUGAGUCUUGAUUUCAGCUCGAUUGUGGACUGAAGAAGAUUGCCAGCAGAGGGAUUGGAUACAAAAUACAAACUUUACUGCUGGACGAGUGUUCUCAACUACUAGACGAGUCAGGUUUACUACCAGGCGAGCAGUGACAACAAGGCGCCUUUGUGGAAACAACACAACAAAAAACUCUACUGCAAGACGAGCAGUGACAGCAAGGCGCCUGAACAUGCAACACAAUACAAAAAAUGCCAAUUUGCAAACCUUGAUGUGGACACCGAGUAGUCAAUACAUACGUGUGGGGUACAGCUGCGACAAAACCGUGGGUCCAUCGCACCGAUAACUUGAACAUUGGCCCGUGUAUGGACAUCAGUGCAACUUUGUGAAUCCAUGUAUCUUUGUGAAUCCAUGUAACAUUGCGAAUGUGUGUCGAUCGAAAAAUGUGUACAUUCUGAACUGAAACGAACUCGGUGUUGCAAGUGGCAAGUGUUGACAGUGUGUAUGUUUAUGUUUAUGUUUUUACAUGAAAACUAAAGGAGAUUGUUCUCCUACCUUUUUUUUCCUUGUUUUAUUGCGCUGGCCAGCAAUAUUGAUGUAUUGAUGUAUGUGUUUGUGUUUAAACUAUGCAAUACCAAAAUCAAACAAAAAAUAAACAUUAACAGUCAUUAACUGUG